CUGCAAGAAGCCAUCACACUAACACGUGACCGUUCCUGUAUGAAACAUACCUACCUACCCUCACCAGUCAUCCUCAUCCAUCUUCAAUAAAUUUGUCUAAUCUUUUAAAGCACCCUAAUGACUUAGCACUAACUAACUUAUAACUCGAUAUAUUCCAUUCAUCUGCCACUAUAUUUGAGAAACAAAUUUCCUUCCUAUCUCUCCUGUCUUUGCUCUUUUCAAGCAUAUGUAAAACACCGUCCGUGGUUUCUCCCCAGCGUCAAGACAACGAACUUUCGCCUUAACUUUAUCUUGUGGAAGAGGAUGAAGUCACAUGAAAUUAAAAUUGAGGGGAAAAAAAGUGCAUGGUUGAGGGAUCGUGUGGGUGCUGGUGAAAAACUCCACGCACUUUAGACACACUGUUAGAGGGAGUGCACUUAUGGUGGAGUCAGGCCUGGUUGGACAUGAACUUUGCACAUACGCGCUGCAUCUUCAAAUAAGAUAUAAGAACAGCUUGAAUUGGAACCUUUCACAUACCACACACCGCAUCUUGUUCAAGGAAGAGAACAGUGCUUUUUCAUCUGUGAAAAAUUUUCAAGUGUCAUGAGCGCGGCUGCAGGCCUGUGCUAUGACAACAGGGACGAUGCCACUGCGCUACCCUCGUGUAUGCGUGUGGUUCACCCACGUCUGCGGGUUAACCAGCCAGGCGUUCCCUACGAAAAGAGCACAGAGCUCAUAGAGACCGAUCCUUAGGGUAUGACUGAAACCACACACACUACCACCGGGACAGCAAGGUCACAACCUCCUCGGUUUACAUCCCAUACCUACUUGCUGCUGGGUGAACAGGAGCUAGACAUUUCUAUGUCUCAUCUUCCUCGCCGCGCCAAGGCCAGGGUCUCUCUAUAGGAAACAGACCACGACACCAGUGUAUGAUAUGGAUAGGUACAGGUGACCGAGCGAUGUACCCAUAGGUAGGUAAGGAUAGGUAAGAUAGGAAUAGGUACGAUUUUUGUUCAUGUAUUGUAGGAAACUUCCACUGUGGGAAACUUUAUUGUUUUUCAUCUGUUGAGAUGUCGCCAUCUAGCACAGACUGAUCACGAGGUGCUGAUGUAAACAUGGAUGUUGUGUCUUCGUUAAGUGUGUCUGUGUGUUAAGCGGGACGUGAUUGAAGGCGGGCAGUUGGCAGAGGGGUGUGAGGACAAGAGAAAGUAGUGCUACCACGGAGCUUGUCGUGUGCCUCGCUGAACUCUGUGCUGUAUAGUGUGUGCGCAAAACUCUAAAAGCUUAUGUGAUGUCGCUGUUUAACUGAUAACAAAACACAGUGACGUAUUGCUAAUGUCUCUCCAGUAAUCUGAGACGUAACACCACUAAACAUUCACCACGUUACUACAUUAUCCCGUAACGAGUGAACUCUCCUGCUGUUGGUGUAAAUUAUAUAUAAUGACUUGAUUCAGACUUUCUUUCAAGUCUACUCAUAUCACGCUACCUUAAAUCAAAUGUUCCUGCCGCUGGCGUGACAAACAGCCGAGUAGGGGAACAAUACAUUCAACACACCUUUGUGCCUUUGAACAAACAUAAUGUACACAGUCAUCUCAUGAGUAUUUUCUUUACAGUGACUACACCAUCGUGCGUGAUGCUGAACCGUAGAUAAACUUCAGAUCCAAAAUAAAAGUGGCAGGCUGAUGUCCCGGCAAUGUUGGGAGACUGGGUGGGUGUGGCAGCUGAACACACACACACACACACACACACACACACUAAGAUGAAAUCCGAAUCUACCCUCAACCCGGGCCUGUACAGAGGAGAGGGGACAUCAUCACCUGACAACCCGGCUCAAGGCAUCACGGUCUCUCUGCAUCUGGACACCACAGCAGAACCGGUUUACCACUUGCACACCACAGUUAAACAUUUUUAGAGGGCAGGCGGAACUCAUUUUGGGUUAUUUUUGACGAAGAGCUUCUUGCAUGGACACAGGGAAGUACAGUACAGGCGCCGCGUAGUAAAAGAGAGCUUUGAAAAUCCUCCAUUGUGCCUGUUCCUUUCAUUACAUCUGAUCCGAUCAAGCACAGAAGGACAUCCAUCCCUAGGAGGAAGUGGCAAGAGGUAAAGAGAAAGAAUGGAUAUGGAUGGAUAUGAAGUGUGACUGGUGAAGACAAGAUUGGAUGUGGCUUGUAAAGACAAGGGGGAGACUUCUAGUGGGAUGGAUGCUUGAUGUACUGAUAGACUGCAGGAAGAAUGUUUGUAGAACAAGGAACAAUGGGUUGAUAGGAUAUGGAGUCUCCCGCAGUGUUACGGGCCACGUGGCAUCAUUGUAUCGACACCCGCUCUCUAUUGAGUCCUGUUAUGCACACCCGUUGUUCCUUGCUCCACAGACGCUCUUCUCGCAGCCUCUCUCUACAAAAUGCAUCCAUCCUGUUCGAAGUCUGUCCCUGAGCUUCACAACUCACAUCCAAUCCAGUUUUCUUCACCAAUCUUUUCUCUAUAUCCUGACACGCCCGCCUUGGAUGCCCUUCUCUGUUUGAUCAGCCAUUCUCUUCCAGAAUUACUUCUCUUCUAUUCAUACGUGUUACUCCAUACAGUAGCAUCAGCACCAGCAGCACCAGUAGUAGUAGUAGUAGUAGUAGUAGUGGUGGCAGUGGUAGUAGUAGUAGUAGUAGCAGUAGAUUGCCCGUGGGAGCGCACAUGAGCUGCAAGCUGGUAAUAGACGUGGUCUGGAGGCCUGUUUACAUGAAAGACUGCUGCCUCAGGCCCGUAAGCGUAACCCCUUUAACGAGGGUUGUUGGAGGUGUUACAGAGAGCCAGUUCGACACCAGUGAGUGGAACUGUUCCGAAUGCAACACCCGGGGACCGUGCGCUCAGCAGCAUACAGGCCCGAAGGACGCUCGGGGCACAGAGAAAACUCUACGGACAUUGCGUGCCACUAUUGACCAACGGACCUCGACAGCGACCAGUGGUGACCACCCAAACCAGCCCUGUCGGUGACCAAGAGCCGCAACGCCCCUUCUGCACACCCCUGCUAGCACUUCCACUCAAGGGAGGCUGUGCAGUCGACUGUGGGGAAUUACUCACCCACGUUCCGGCCGCCGCGAGAGCAACAUCGUCGAGGAUGAUGUGCCCUAGACUUAAAGCAUGACUGGGCAGACCGACAGGCGACCCCGAGGGACCCUGCUGUGCCGCAGGGACUCCUACGGGAAAGGGAGGAUGUCCCCCAUCAUGUCCCCGAUACCUGGGGAUAGAGGUGUCGGGAGUAGACAUGCCCUGCAAUUGACCGUAGAACUGACCUAUAAAAAUGAAACAAGCGUGGCGGCUGGCGAAGCUGUGGACACUUCAGUUGGUGGUAGUGAGUGCCACAAUGACCCUUCACACCCCAUCCGCUUCAGACUCGGUUGUCAGUGCCCAAAGGCUGGCUGUACCUUCCACGCACACCAUCCGCGUCCCGUUCACCAAGCUGGACUCGGAUCUCGACCAAUGGGGGAUGUCGCUGCGUGCCGCCCUCCAGACCCUCGUGGCGUGGGAGCUGUCGCAGUGCUCGCUGGUGGUGGCGGCCGACUCCGACUACCUUGCCUCUCAGACGCUGGAUGCCCUCACCGGACUUCCAAAUCAAAAACAGGUGGUGGGCGUGACUGGCGGAUGGGAGGCGGCGGGCAGGCGGGUGGUGUGGCGGGCGCGAGGGUGUCGGGCCUAUAUCUUCUUGUUGCGCAAGCCCCAGGCACUGUUGUCCUUCGGCGACUCUGUUCCCGCCCUCUGGGAUUACGGCGGCAGGUACGUGCUGGUUGGACUCACACGAGACGAGCUGGACGCCCUGACCCUCACCCAUAAGGGAAGGAAGACAGAGCAUCUGGUGGGUCUCGUGCAGUCUGAUAAAGUAGGAAAGUGGGAGGUGUACAUCAACCAGCUGUACUGGGGCCCCGGCAUGAGGCUGCACGCUACCUGGAGGAAAGGACACUUCUCCUCCCCAGCCUCGCCCUUCAUAGACAAGAUCUCCGACAUCCGAGGCUCCGUCCUGCAGAUAGCGAUGUUUGAGUGGGAGCCGAGCACGCUGUACCGCCGCAACGAGGAGGGUGUCCUGGAGCACCUGUACGGCCGCGACAUCGAGGUGAUCAGGGCGCUGGCGGACGUGUUCAACUUCACUGCUAAGUUUAUUGAGACUUAUGACGGUGAAAAAUGGGGCUACCCUCUCCCCAACGGGUCUUGGACCGGCCUGGUGGGGAUGCUGGGGCGGGCAGACGCCGAACUCGCCAUCUCUAACUUGUUCGUCAGCUCGUUGGAAGGCCGCGACGAGUACCAAGGCUACACGAAUUUCUUUGACACUGAUUACUCGUGCUUCCUUAUCCGCACGGAGCCGCCCAUGCCGCGGUGGCAGUCCCCUGGCCUGCCUUACACCCUGUCUACCUGGCUGGCCAUCCUGGGCAGCCUCCUUGCCAUCGGCAUAAUCCUCAACUUGGUGGCUUUGGCAGCGACUGAGGGCCCUGACGAGGGAAAGGAGACCGUCAAUCUGAAAUGGUUCCCCGCCGCAAUGCUCUUCACUAUCAGCCUUCACCUGCAGGAGCCGUACUCUGCACUGCCUCGCCGCCAAGCCACGCGCAUCAUGGUGGCUUUCAUGCUCAUGUACACCUUCAUUCUCGCUAAGUCUUACUCCUGUAACCUCACAGCCUUUCUCACCGUGGCCAGGCAACCAACUGGCAUAGAUACGAUUAAGGAAUUGUUUGAAUCAUCACUUCCUUUGUUUGAGAACACCAACUACGUGAAAGCUUCAUUGGUGCAGUCCCCUAACGUUUAUCUGCGCGGGUUGGUGGAGAGGCACACGCUGGUGACCGAUUUGCGCGAGAUCAUGAAAUUGGUCCGCAAGGGGAAGGGCGUGGCCGUGGUGAACCGCAGCACCAAAGAGUUCAACAUCAACACUCAGCUGCAUCACUCUGAGGGAGCCCAUGAGACGCGGAUGAUGAAGGAAUGUUUUUCUGCGUACACUGUGGCUGUCGGGAUCCGCUCCCACUCCCCACUCAAGUACUUCUUUGAUAAGGCCAUCAGCAAGAUCUUUGAGAGCGGUUUGGUGACGUACUGGAAACUAGAUUCGUACACUCAGUUUAAGAAGGACAAGAAAAGGAAGCUCGGGAGUCAAAAGUACAACGAGGGUAGUGCGGAAGACGGGGGCGGCACCAAACUGGUUCCCCUCAGCCUGGACCACCUGCAGACCGCCUUCUACGUCUUGGCCUCCAGCUUGCUCUCGUCCACAGUGAUAUUCAUGAUUGAAGUCUUCCAAAAAUCCAUCUAAUUACACUAUAUUUUGAAUCGCACGGGUCCAUGAAGCGUUGGAGUGAGAGCAGAGCAUGGACGAGAUGGUGGAUCUGACGGGCGGUCUGGCGGAACGCUUCGACCUAGGAGGACACACCGGACAAAAGGCGCUGAUGACGGCCUCACGCAGCGGCGCCAACAUCACCGAUUACAGGAAGGGUAUUCGUAACACCCAAACCAAAGGAGCUCAAGUACAUAUCUUCCUGAAGUCCUUGCAUUCUCCUCAGGACAACUCAUGCUAUAGGGGAAAAGCAUAAGACAGACCACAGUGGACUCCCUACAACUUCUCCUCAAAAAGAAUGAAGACAGGAAAAGAGAGGUGUUACCGCCAAGCGGGUGAAAGAAGUCGUUGUGCAAACACUUGUUGCAAGGUCCACAGCUGCUAGACCCAGCCCACCUGCUGCUGCUGUGACCAACACUGUGCUCUCCUCAUUCACUGCAGCACGCCUGUUUAGCCCGAUGAGAGCUGUGGCAUAGGUGUCAACAAGAGCUGCUCCACUGUCAAAACUAACUGCAUGGUCCACAGUCCACAGAUCCUGUAAAUUUAAAAAGUCAGUCAAUCCACUGUAAUAAAUUAUUAUUAAAAGUGUACUUAAACUCAUUACCAUUCAGCACUGUACAUAAUAAAAUCAUGCGAAGUAUAAAGACUAAAUAAUAAAAUCAAGAACUAUAUAUGCUAACUAAAUAAUAAAAUAAUGUAAUGUAUAAAGAGUAUCUACACAGCACUCACAUUGGAUAAGUUUGUAUUAUACAGAGGUUUUAAAUAAACAACAAAUAGUAUGUGAUAUAGUGUGAUUGAUACUUCAAACACAAUAAAUUAUCUAAUGAAAAGCA